rnacentral:tRNA from 1 species
GCCGGGAUGGCGGAACUGGCAGACGCGCUAGGUUCAGGACCUAGUUCCCGUAAGGGUGUAGGGGUUCAACUCCCCUUCCCGGCA